CACAAAGACACCCCUUCUCCUUCUUCUUCUUCUUCAUCAUUCACUCUUCAAAAAAAUCUCAACCCUUUAUUCUUUCUUCAUUCAUCAAUUUCUUCUUCAAAAUCCUCAACAAUGGUCUUCUAUAAGUUUUUCUCCCAUUUCUCACGAACCAUUCCCCGAUCCUUACUUCUCUCUGCUCCGCGAAUCCCCAACAACAAUUCCAUAACUUCUCCAAUCAAUUUCAUUCGCUACUCAUUGCCCAAUCUACAAACAAGGAUUGAUUAAAAGAACGCAACACAUUCAGUUCUAAAAGAUUCUCUUUUAAGUUCUAUAAAGGUUGCUUCUUGACAUUACAUAGUUAACAUGAAUCCCAGGUUUGAUCACAUAUUGUGGAGCUAAAGUUCAGGUAUCACAUCAUAUUACACUUGCAAAACCUAUUUGUGUGUACAUCUUUAUAUUUUUCUCUGAUAUGAUGUCUUUGGCUCUACUUAUGAGCAUGCUUUAGGUUUUGGUUCUGUUUCAUGAAUUACCUUGUUGGUGUGUGGUGUUACGAUACAAAAUCUUUGUAUAAUUUCAUUAAUUUGUAUUUUAAAGUGGUAAUGGCCUAGUUAAAGUGCCUGUGUAUUAAAACAUAUAUGUGUACUCUUGUGAUCCUAAGAGAUGCGUUGUAUAAUUGUAUUGUAAACUAUUGAUCAAUAAUACUAUAUGAUGGUGUGUCUC